rnacentral:rRNA from 1 species
UGGUGGCGAGUGGACGACGGGUAGAGUAAAUAGUAUCGGAACGUACCCGGAAAUGGGGAUAACGUAGCGAAAGUUACGCUAAUACCGCAUAUGCCCUAAGGGGGAAAGCGGGGGAUUCGCAAGAACCUCGCGUUUUGGAGCGGCGAUAUCGGAUUAGCUAGUAGGUGAGGUAAAGGCUCACCUAGGCGACGAUCCGUAGCUGGUCUGAGAGGACGACCAGCCACACUGGAACUGAGACACGGUCCAGACUCCUACGGGAGGCAGCAGUGGGGAAUUUUGGACAAUGGGCGCAAGCCUGAUCCAGCCAUGCCGCGUGAGUGAAGAAGGCCUUCGGGUUGUAAAGCUCUUUCAGCCGGAAAGAAAACGCACGGGUUAAUAACCUGUGUGGAUGACGGUACCGGAAGAAGAAGCACCGGCUAACUACGUG